rnacentral:rRNA from 1 species
UACGGAAGGUGGCAAGCGUUGUCCGGAUUUACUGGGUGUAAAGGGCGUGCAGCCGGGAGUGCAAGUCAGAUGUGAAAUCCAUGGGCUCAACCCAUGAACUGCAUUUGAAACUGUACUUCUUGAGUACCGGAGGGGCAAUCGGAAUUCCUAGUGUAGCGGUGAAAUGCGUAGAUAUUAGGAGGAACACCAGUGGCGAAGGCGGAUUGCUGGACGGCAACUGACGGUGAGGCGCGAAAGUGUGGGGAGCAAA